CCUACGGGUGGCAGCAGUGAGGAAUAUUGGUCAAUGGCCGGAAGGCUGAACCAGCCAUGCCGCGUGAAGGUCAGUGCCCUAUGGGCGUUAAACUUCUUUUGUGCGGGAGCAAUAAUGGUCACGUGUGGCCAGACGAGAGUACCGUACGAAUAAGCAUCGGCUAACUCCGUGCCAGCAGCCGCGGUAAUACGGGGGGUGCAAGCGUUAUCCGGAUUUAUUGGGUUUAAAGGGUGCGUAGGCUGUGAGGUAAGUCAGCGGUGAAAUGCCCCCGCUCAACGGGGUGAAGUGCCAUUGAUACUGCCUGGCUGGAAUGCGGAUGACGUGGGAGGAAUGUGUGGUGUAGCGGUGAAAUGCAUAGAUAUCACACAGAACACCGAUUGCGAAGGCAUCUCACGAGUCCGCGAUUGACGCUGAUGCACGAAAGCGUGGGUAUCAAACAGGAUUAGAUACCCCUGUAGUC
rnacentral:rRNA from 1 species